rnacentral:lncRNA from 1 species
UUUUCCUGACCAAAGGCCGCAAUAUCCUUCGGAGGCCAACGUCGAAUUCCCGACUUAGCCACCGGCCAACUUACGGCUUUCGUUUCUCACUAUCCUUACGACGAAAAAGGAUUGAGAAAACACCGUUGUGUAGCCUGAUCUACCUCGCACGAGGAAGACUAAGUCGUAGACCUUCGCGGCUAAACACCAUCGCGGAACGACGACCAGAAAACCCCCGACGAACAACUUCCAUUAGUGCUCACUUGGACAAGGGUUCAAAUAAACAAAAGCGUCUGAGUAACCUAUCGCGCUAAGGAAAGAGAAUCAUUGUCUUAAGUAGCAAAACACUGCAAUCAGGUGGGCAUUACUUUUACUAUACGUAUAUAGAGAUCCCCUACGUAUCGUAGGCCUCUUAUACGAAUGAAUGCAUGAGAUGAUCUAACUGUUAAUUUCAGUUUCAUAUAUAUCAAAUGAGUUUAAAUGUUACAUUCAAGCAAGUUAUUUCAUGACAAAAUCUUUGAGUUAAAGUUAUUUCAAGUAUUGUCUUGCCAUAAAAUGUUUAAAUUUUAGUAUGAUAUCUAUCUGCUUUGGCUUUGCCAAUGAUGCAAUCGAAUUCGGGUCUUGAGCAGUUGAUAGCUAUCCUGCCAGGACUAGUGUACACCAGUGACCGUGAGUCAUCUAGCGGGUUGGCCGGUCAAGUGACCGUGAGAGGUGGCCACCUCUCCGGCACACAGUUCCAGAUAUGAUAGAUUACAAGAGAACUUAGACUGCAGUCGAACUUUAAGAAUCACAAAUGAAUUUAGUAAGCUUGGGCCUUUUUAGCGAAAAAACUCCCUUGCUGUACUGUUUAUGACGGCACGACAAUUUACAGUUUUGAAGCAUGUAUUUUUAUACCUAGGCAUACGUGCCCACUGAGUGCUUUUGUACUCAGCCCUGCAUAUGUUUUCUAAAUGUGCAGGUUGAGCUGAUGUGAUGAUGGUGCUGCAAUGAGCGGAGUCUCCAGG